GAGUAUAUAGUUCAGUGGCAGAGUGCAUGCUUGGCAUGCACAAAGUCCUGGGUUCAAUCCCCAGUACCUCCA
rnacentral:tRNA from 1 species